rnacentral:rRNA from 1 species
GCUUGCUCCUGGAUUCAGCGGCGGACGGGUGAGUAAUGCCUAGGAAUCUGCCUGGUUGUGGGGGAUAACGUCCGGAAACGGGCGCUAAUACCGCAUACGUCCUGAGGGAGAAAGUGGGGGAUCUUCGGACCUCACGCUAUCAGAUGAGCCUAGGUCGGAUUAGCUAGUUGGUGGGGUAAAGGCCUACCAAGGCGACGAUCCGUAACUGGUCUGAGAGGAUGAUCAGUCACACUGGAACUGAGACACGGUCCAGACUCCUACGGGAGGCAGCAGUGGGGAAUAUUGGACAAUGGGCGAAAGCCUGAUCCAGCCAUGCCGCGUGUGUGAAGAAGGUCUUCGGAUUGUAAAGCACUUUAAGUUGGGAGGAAGGGCAGUAAGUUAAUACCUUGCUGUUUUGACG